CGGGCAGCCACUCCACUCCUUGGCUGUUCGUACAUACAAAAAAGGAGGAAAUUCCGUGAGCUCGCGGUGCGGCAGUGUGGAGACCUGUCGUAAUGCGGCGCGCCCCGAGCGGGCGGUCGCGAGGCGGUUUUGGAGGAGUCCUGACCGUUAGAGCAAUGCAGUAUGGC
rnacentral:ncRNA from 1 species